AUUGAACGCUGGCGGCAGGCCUAACACAUGCAAGUCGAGCGGAUGAAGGGAGCUUGCUCCUGGAUUCAGCGGCGGACGGGUGAGUAAUGCCUAGGAAUCUGCCUGGUAGUGGGGGAUAACGUCCGGAAACGGGCGCUAAUACCGCAUACGUCCUGAGGGAGAAAGUGGGGGAUCUUCGGACCUCACGCUAUCAGAUGAGCCUAGGUCGGAUUAGCUAGUUGGUGGGGUAAAGGCCUACCAAGGCGACGAUCCGUAACUGGUCUGAGAGGAUGAUCAGUCGCACUGGAACUGAGACACGGUCCAGACUCCUACGGGAGGCAGCAGUGGGGAAUAUUGGACAACGGGCGAAAGCCUGAUCCAGCCAUGCCGCGUGUGUGAAGAAGGUCUUCGGAUUGUAAAGCACUUUAAGUUGGGAGGAAGGGCAGUAAGUUAAUACCUUGCUGUUUUGACGUUACCAACAGAAUAAGCACCGGCUAACUUCGUG
rnacentral:rRNA from 1 species